rnacentral:rRNA from 1 species
UACGUAGGGAGCGAGCGUUGUCCGGAAUUACUGGGUGUAAAGGGAGCGUAGGCGGGACGGCAAGUCAGAUGUGAAAACUGAGGGCUCAACCUUCAGACUGCAUUUGAAACUGCUGUUCUUGAGUGAAGUAGAGGUAAGCGGAAUUCCUAGUGUAGCGGUGAAAUGCGUAGAUAUUAGGAGGAACAUCGGUGGCGAAGGCGGCUUACUGGGCUUUUACUGACGCUGAGGCUCGAAAGCGUGGGGAGCAAACAGG